UACGAAGGGGGCUAGCGUUGCUCGGAAUCACUGGGCGUAAAGCGCACGUAGGCGGAUUGCUAAGUCAGGGGUGAAAUCCUGGAGCUCAACUCCAGAACUGCCUUUGAUACUGGCGAUCUUGAGUCCGGGAGAGGUGAGUGGAACUGCGAGUGUAGAGGUGAAAUUCGUAGAUAUUCGCAAGAACACCAGUGGCGAAGGCGGCUCACUGGCCCGGUACUGACGCUGGAGGUGACGAAAGCGGUGGGGAGCAAACAGG
rnacentral:rRNA from 1 species